rnacentral:rRNA from 1 species
UGGGGAAUAUUGGACAAUGGGCGAAAGCCUGAUCCAGCCAUGCCGCGUGUGUGAAGAAGGUCUUCGGAUUGUAAAGCACUUUAAGUUGGGAGGAAGGGCAGUAAGCGAAUACCUUGCUGUUUUGACGUUACCGACAGAAUAAGCACCGGCUAACUCUGUGCCAGCAGCCGCGGUAAUACAGAGGGUGCAAGCGUUAAUCGGAAUUACUGGGCGUAAAGCGCGCGUAGGUGGUUCGUUAAGUUGAAUGUGAAAGCCCCGGGGUCAACCUGGGAACUGCAUCCAAAACUGGCGAGCUAGAGUAGGGCAGAGGGUGGUGGAAUUUCCUGUGUAGCGGUGAAAUGCGUAGAUAUAGGAAGGAAAACCAGUGGCGAAGGCGAACACCUGGGAUAAUACUGACACUGAGGUGCGAAAGCGUGGGGAGCAAACAGG